UACGUAGGUGGCAGCGUUGUCCGGAUUUACUGGGCGUAAAGGGCGUGCAGGCGGUUUGUUAAGUGCAGGGUGAAAGCUCCCGGCUCAACUGGGAGAGGUCCUUGCAUACUGGCAAACUCGAGGGAGGCAGAGGAAAGUGGAAUUCCCGGUGUAGUGGUGAUAUGCGUAGAUAUCGGGAGGAACACCUGUGGCGAAGGCGGCUUUCUGGGCCUUACCUGACGCUGAGGCACG
rnacentral:rRNA from 1 species